UCUUCACUCCCACUGUUUCCUUCUUACUGGGAAGUGACUGUCAGGCUUACCGAACGGAGGGAGUGUAUGAGAAACCGAUAGAGAGGGAGGGAGGGCGACUGAUGGGUGAUGUGAAAGGUGGUGGUAUUUAAGGUUCCUUUCUGUGAAUGUCAGACAGUAUGCUGUAUCCUUCCUUGGGACUUAGAGGACAUGGGAGAGUGAGCAGAAUGUGCAGGUGAACUGGGGAGGGAUGGCUGCGCUGUAUGUUCAUUCAGAUUUGGAAGACUUGCUGCUGAUUCAACACUUAAACAUCUUUUUGUUGCGAUUGGACCGUUGAAGUGUGUUUGAGGCUCGACUCUGCGAGAGCACAGUCCUGGGAGGCCGCCUUGAGGAGAUGUAUUUCUAUUAGAAGAUCUGGAAAGAACAUUUUCUGUGAAUUUCUGGGUAAUAGGCUGCAGAACCGGUUGUUUCCUCGUCCAACUGCCGGAAAGAUAGGAGUUUCCUGAACGUGUUCAGGUGUGGCCUUCCUUAGAAAGUUCAUUGUACUGUAUAACAUGAAUCUUAAAAGAAUUCACAGACUCAAACUGAAUAAACCACAGUGACAGAGAUAACAUUGUACUGUACUUCACUGUCAAUAUUGACUGCAGACCUUGAAUGAGGUUGGGGUUGUUUUUUUUUAGAUGGAGGAGAUCCUGUAAUGCAACACAGGUCGGUUAAUGGCAAACUUACUUUGGAGGGUUCAAAGAUACAUCAACUGUAUGUCAGUAAUCAUAUUGUCCCAAAGUUCUUUUCCGGGGAGUGUACGGCCAUAACUGAUGAGUCAUUUCAUUCCUUGACCGGAGCACUAUCACCAUGGUCUGAUUCAGUGCUUGCAUCAGACUUUCAUUUCAGUGGUUGUGAAGCAUUUCCAGGAAUACUUAGGUUGAAAAGAUUCCUCAGAUGACCCUAAAACUCUCCAUACGCUCUGCCUAACCGCAGCAUUAGAUCCAUUCAAUCAUAACUUCAUUCUGGAGGUUUGUUUUCCACUUUGGUUUUUCAUAUUUCACUUAUUUCACAUAAAGUGCCUCUCAGUCUGUUGCCAAUUUAUGAAAAAGUAGAUGUUUUAAAUGACAUACUGCAAUACCGUAUAAUGUAAAUGCCAACUAUGAUUCAUUGCUGUUUAAGAUCAACUGUAGUUGCCAUUGCAGUAACCUAUUGCUCAAUCUUCCAAUGAAAGAAGUAGGGCUGACGCUAUCGUUUCAUCAUCGGCCUGCCUUUCUUGAGAAAUAGGGACGUUGUGAGUGACUUCAUCUCAGUGUGCUGCUCAUGUUAUAUAUCCUGAAUCCACUUUUAUUGGUGAUUUCAUACCUUUUUAAUGACGAUUUACAUGAUAUAGAUGGCUUUAAUUUAGUUUUAAGUUACUUGUGAGAACUGAGAGAAUAUAUCAUGAAUAAUGAAGCAUGAGUGUCAAAUGAUUAAGCCAUUCAUUGAUCAUGAGGCUCUCGAGGACCACAUUUUGAUAAGUGCUCUACUAUGAGAACUGAAUUCCAUAGAUGGUGGCAUCUUCAGGUGUCAUCUAUGGGCUCAGUUCUUUUGGCAUGGUACUAGUUUGGCAGCCUCACGGCACAGCACCACAGAGCGGAAAUCAUAACCAUCAGAAAGCACUAAUACUUGUGUGGCUUACAUUCAUUUCAGCAUGUCUUUGGUUUACUACGCAUUACUUUUAUAUGUUUGUGUGUAUUGUUACCUUUCUCCACGUGAUGAACCAGGAGUUAACUUGCAUUUAAUGGUUUUUAAAGUUGAUGUUAAGCAUAUUGUAUAUUGUUAAUAAAGUAUAAAUCAAAGUGAA